UGUUUCUUCAAUACAGUUAAU
rnacentral:piRNA from 1 species